UACGUAGGUGGCGAGCGUUGUCCGGAUUUACUGGGCGUAAAGAGCGCGCAGGCGGUCGUACAAGUCGCGUGUGAAAGCCCCCGGCUCAACUGGGGAGGGUCAUUCGAUACUGAUCGACUCGAAGGCAGGAGAGGGUAGUGGAAUUCCCGGUGUAGUGGUGAAAUGCGUAGAUAUCGGGAGGAACACCAGUGGCGAAGGCGACUACCUGGCCUGUUCUUGACGCUGAGGCGCGAAAGCUAGGGGAGCAAACGGG
rnacentral:rRNA from 1 species